GAUCCUGGCUCAGGAUGAACGCUGGCGGCGUGCUUAACACAUGCAAGUCGAACGGACGAUGAAGAGCUUGCUUUUCAGAGUUAGUGGCGGACGGGUGAGUAACGCGUGGGUAACCUGCCUCAUACAGGGGGAUAGCAGCUGGAAACGGCUGAUAAAACCGCAUAAGCGCACAGCAUCGCAUGAUGCAGUGUGAAAAAACUCCGGUGGUAUGAGAUGGACCCGCGUUUGA
rnacentral:rRNA from 1 species